rnacentral:misc_RNA from 1 species
GGCGGCGGCGGCGCAUUCGCCCCGCAAACCGCCAGCUUGCCGUGGCUCUCAGUCGCGCCUGCUCCCUCUGUAACUACUGGCAUGGAGGAGCGGUGAUCGCUGAGGGCGCGGCGAUGCGGGAGCCGUGACUUCUACUACCACUGCCAUGGCGGAGGAACCCGAGGUCAUCCCACCGACAUUCUUGCAGAAACUGCUGUUUUACACCACUGCGUUCUUCAUCCUCCUCGGGACUUUCAGCCUCUUCGCCUUCCUCUUCCUCGUGCCUUUCGUGAUCGAUCCGGCCUUCACCACAAUCUUCAUGGAGUUCGACACGAACCCGGCGUGGUGUCAGACGGUCGACACGCUAAAGCAACAAGGUGUGUCCAACUGCACCUGGAGUUCGUGCCGCGAGGGCUGCACCAAGGAGGUGUACGAGUGCACGCAGAUCCGGGUAAACUACAAACUGAGACCAUCCGAAGAGGAAGAGGGAGGCGAGGAAAGGAAGGCCGAGGAGGACGGAGACGCGCGGGUGGAGCGCGCGCUGCGCGAUUACGAGUACUUCGAGCCGCAGAAGGAGGAGGACGACGAGGCCGACUUCUCCGGCGACGAGGACCAGCCGCUCGAGCCGCGCACGGGGCUCAUGGGCAACGACUCCGAGUGGUACUUCACCUUCGCCAAGCUGUUCCCCAACGUCAAGGGCUGCGGCUACCCGCCGAUGCUCAACUGCACCAUCUUCGUCGGACUGUACGAGACGCCCGGGACCAACUUCUCGUGCUACUACAGCAAGGUCGACCCCGGGCUCGUCAUCAGCGACCUCGACAUGCACCAGGUGUACAUGAACCUGGUGUACGCCAUGGCAAUCCCCAUACCUUCCUUCAUAAUAUCCGUCAUCUACCUGACGUUCGCUUACUUCGUCAUCUACAACGAAGAGCCGGAGGAAGCGCUGGUGGACGGAGGUGGCGACGCGGACGUGGACGGCGAGGGCGGCACGGCGACGCCGCUGCCCCCGGCGCUGACGCCCGCCAGCGACGCCUUCCGGGAAGACCUGGCCAGCUUCGGCCACCAGCUCAAGGUCGCCAUGGCCGACGAGCUCAGCCGCGAGAGCGUGCCCGACGUCGUCGCCAACUCCACAUCCGUCCCCGGGAGCCUUGGAAAGACGAUGGCGACUAGUAUUCCAACUCCAGGCGGCCCCAUCGCAGAUGUAUAGGACAAGCACUCCAAAAUGAGUGAGACACCACAGAAGAGACUAAACGAUUGAGAAGGAAGGUUCUUGCUGAGAGCACAGGGGGGAAGUGGUUUUGAAGACCGUAUUCUCCGUUACUGACCAUAAGUAAUCAGUUUAUCUUUCCAAAUACAAUAAUUUUUCUCGGCACAGUAAGGAAUGUAAUGUGAAUCAUGUUUGGUCACUUUGUCGGAUGAUACUGCUAUAGGUGCUAUCUUGCUAAAUAAUGGACAUAUUGUUAUAUUUUCAAAAUGUCUUUCAUGCUAAAGUUAGCAAUUGUAUUUGUAAUAUUUGUGUGGAAACAAACAAGUUGAGUGGUUUCUGAAGCAAUGUUUUUCAAAGAAACAUCUGUUACAAUGUUGUUGAACAUAUUCUGUCGUAAGAGUGGAGAGAAAAACCCACAACGUUCAUUAUUUAUAGUGAAAUAUUUUAUCCAUAAACACAUAUUCUAAUGAGUGAUGUAUUAUGUUGCUGUCGUUCAGAAUCUUUAACUUUGGUACUUUAUAAGAAGAGUGCUGGUUUGUUAAUUGUUGAAACUGUUCCAUAAAUGGUAAAUAUCACAAAUGUUUUAAAAUCAACAACUGAAACAAUAAUUUUAUGCGAUGAGUUUGUAGCUUUUUAGUAUUGAUGCAACCAACGAACUCUUGCAAUACUGCAUAUAUAUCAAGCAACAUGAAAGUGCUUUGACAUAAAACUAAUUACAAGUCGAAUGAUGAAACUGAGUGAUGCUGUUGUAAUAAGUGUAAUGUAACAGUUAGUGCUUUUUGAUGCCAUGUAUGAUUUAGUAACAAAUAUUUACAGUUUUCCUAUAGUAACAUAAAACAAAGCCUGCCCAACAACAAAUUUUUUAUAUGAAUCUGUUGUUUAUCAUUUUCAUUAAGUGAAAUGAAGUUAUCUCUGACAAUCUCGAUGGAACGUUUAGAUAAGUAGCUCUUGUUCAGUGUAAACUUAAGCACCAAAUAAGAUUAAACUACUCAUCACUGAAUCGAGUAAGGACAAAAAAGUCUGUGAUCUAGAAACAGUUUAAAAUACUCUGUGUGACUAUUAGAAAAAUGGUAAGCAAAUAAUGGUAAACUAGUAUAUUAUGCAGAUUUCCAACUAGCAGCUAGAAAUUAUUAUGUGACUGACACCGCCCACUGGUAACAUUCUCCAAUGAUAAAUGUUUUGCAUAAAUAAAAUCUAAUUCACUGUGUAAAGCAAUCUUAGAAGUAGAAAUUUUAGCUUAUGAUAGAGGUUUAAUCGUUCUAUAAUUCCUGUUGAAUUGCAAUGAAGGCUUCAUUUCAAAGCAUUUAAUUAAAUACAAAUUUAAUUCCGUCCAGAGCUGCAUCCUACAAAUCUCUUCAAAACAGUGGCAAGAAUUUGUUGCUGUACAAAGUAAGAAAUGUGACAGAAUAGUUGGAUGAAUAUAAACAGUUAACUGAAUCUCAUCUAGUUGUGCUGCUAAUAGAAGCAAUAGGCUUUUGCAAACGUUGUUCUAUAGUUAUAUAAGUAAUAGACAUUAAAAAUAUACCGGAAAUCCGUUUUAGAACAGCUCUCAUUAAUUAAAUGUAAAUAGGUAGUGUCACAUCUCACUCAUUUUUGUGCACUCAAUAGUAACAGGCAAAUCAAUUUGAAAUUCAUUUCUCAUGUAAUUAUCUCAACUAGCUAUGCUGUUUCUAAAUUAAGAAACGUACUUGUGUUGAGAAAGCCUUAAACUGUGUGGCAUUGUUGCAUGAUAUAUUUUUGUAAACGUUUUCAUUUUUAAUAACUUUUAACCAUUCCGAAAAAAUAAUUUAUCACAAAUAUGGGAGCGUAUCUUUGUUUCUAUGGAAGCGUUCUUAAACUGGGAAUGGAUUCAAAAAUUUUUUGUAACUAUCUCUACCUUAUUAUAGCUGUAAAAAUUGUGCAUCGAAACACACCCAGCUGGCUGUGAAAUAAGCUAAGUACCCUAGAAUUUUAGAACUUCAUAGAGCAUAUAUGACCCAGAAAACAGUAAUAAUAGUAGAACAAAAGUGAGUCAUGUGUCAGAAAACACUAUUUAUACCUGUCAGGAGUGACAUUUAAAGAAGUUUGGAAAAUGAUUACAGGUCAUUAUUAUCUCUGGAUUCAAGCCAUAGAAUUUGCGGGUGAAAUAUAUUAUAUUAGCUUUUUAUAACUCAUAUUAUAUAAAUUAAUGAACAAUAUUCAACGUACGUGGAGCUUUCGACAAAAAAUGUUUAUACCACACAAGAGAAGGCUGAAAAAUGUAUUCUAUGAACUAAAUAAACAUGUGGUCCAGUUUGUGGUAUUAGUGUUGUGACUACCGCUUCUUCAAUGCCAACGUGACAGAUUCAGUGCAAUAAAUCUUGUCUAUUUAAACUCACAGAAUGCAAAUAAUACUCACUAUUUCAAUAGAAGAACGUUAAAUUUUCACUGAAUUUUGCGAAUGGUAGUAGCUAUGCACAUGUAAGGAUGACGACGUGGAAGUGAUGUGGCUAAUGCAAUACAUUAUUAUACUUCUGAUGAAGUUGUUGACGCUUGCAUUGUUGGUUGAAUUUUGCUACCUUUAUUUUUAAUAUAUCUUUUGAUAUUUGGAACUGAAGUGGAGUCUUUUGUAUGAUAUAAUCUCUUCUGCUAAUGCAUUCCACACACCACUACAGCUGAGUCAUUUUUGCUGUUGAGGUCAAUUUCCAGCUUCAGUCAAUUUCGGAACUGGAGCUUAACAUACAUUACAGAAUUGUUAACUAUGUAGCUACGUUCAGUACCUCACUGAAAUAUUUUUAAUGAGAAUGUAUACUUCUGUAACGACUUCUGGUGUAUCUGCAGUUAUGCGUUCAUGUCAUGAUUUAACUUUUGGUUUCUUGAGAAAAUGGAAUGUACUUAAUAAUCAGUUUGAUAAACUGCAACUCCAGACUAGUCCACAAUGUAUCUGGAUCUCUUUGCAUGUGAUUCUUAACACCAGAAGAUUGUAUGGUAUCAUUUAUGUAUUUAACACCAGAAUGCUGCAGAAAGGUACAAUAUCUCCGAUUAAUCUUGAAUUUCUUUUUUGAAUUGUUUUCGAUAGAAAACUAUGUAACUGCAACUUAGCUUUUAUUUUCAUUCAUUAUAUGUGAGAACGUAUUCUAAUUUGGAAGUGACUACUUUAUCAUGAAAAUUAAUUUUGUUUCCUUGCAACUUCAGAGGCUGCUCAUUUAAACAUAUGAAACAAACUAGUGUAAAGCCCAGUUUUAUUUUGUUCAAGAAUGUGUAUUUCUUUCUAUAUUGUACACAUCUAUAUUUCCAAUCUCAGGUCGUGAUGUAAUUCCUUCCGCAAUAUAAUAUAACAAUCACAAAUUUUUUGAUGUACUUUUAUACAACAGAAGUAUGAGUUCGCAAUUAACUGGAAAUUCACCAGAAAUCGAAGCUGUUAUGGAUGAUGGUACAAGCUUCCCCAACCAGUUAUUCAGUGUGUGUGUGAACUGUAAAAAAAGAGAUGCUUUUUUAUCAUUCUAUAGAGUUUAGGGGAUGCCACUGAGUGGUCUUCAUUACUAAAGCAAUAUCGUGCAUAAUGCAUUUGUAAAUGGGAUGCCUGCUAUCCUGAGGAGACAUAAUAUGUACCUUUAUGCCCAUCAUCAAGUCCAAAUGUUUUUUAUUGUUCUGGCACAUGGUUAUACUAUGAAAAUUUUGUUACUUGUAAGUUCGCUUUUGUAAGGAAUCAUAUUCUGCAUAUUGUUAUUAAUAAAUUAAUUGCCAUUCUUUCA